AUCACAGACCAUGGCAGUCUGAAUGAGCUGGAUCUCAUGAGAACUCAUGAAGCUAAGUAGGGUCAGGCCAGGUUAUUCCUUGGAGGAGAGACCACUUAGGAAGACCAGGUGCCUCUGUAG
rnacentral:rRNA from 1 species